CAGUCGCCGCGGGAAUACGUAGGGUGCAAGCGUUGUCCGGAAUUAUUGGGCGUAAAGAGCGUGUAGGCGGCUCGACAAGUCCGCUGUGAAAGUCCAGGGCUCAACCCUGGAAUGCCGGUGGAUACUGUCGAGCUAGAGUCCGGAAGGGGCGAGUGGAACUCCUGGUGUAGCGGUGAAAUGCGCAGAUAUCAGGAAGAACACCAAUGGCGAAGGCAGCUCGCUGGGACGUGACUGACGCUGAGACGCGAAAGCGUGGGGAGCGAACAGGAUUAGAUACCCCGGUAGUCCCUGUCUUCUUAUU
rnacentral:rRNA from 1 species